GUUUAGCCCCGAUUGAAGUGGAAAUACUUUUUGUUUGUAGCAACCCUGAAUAAACUGUCAUGCUGAGGCACGAAGCAUCUGCAACCGAUGAAACUGAUUCUUCUUGCCUCAGCAAAGCAGAAGUUUUAAAAAGAUUGAAACAAAAAGCGGGACCGAUU
rnacentral:sRNA from 1 species